AAAAUUAAGAUACUUCUUUGAUGGCCCCAAUAGGUAAGGGUGUUGAGAAAUAAUAACAAAACACUCUAGUGGAAGUUUCAAAUCUCUGCCAGAACUUACAAGAUGUCUUAUUAAAUAUUUUUAUUUAAGCAACCAAAUUUCCAUCAACAAAAAGAUUGUGUGUGAAGAAGUGGAGGUCAUAAAACAGCGUUGUCAUAGCAACCAAAACUCAUUCAACUCUUUGUAGUAAGCCCAAUAACUGAAAUAAAUUUAAUUCAAAUCUCUUCAUUUU